CUCGGCAUUACGCAUUUCCCCAUUUCAAUCUCAUUUCCAGGACACUAUCAUUCCUAUGCACGCAGGACUGUUCACUAGUGAUAGUGGUUCCACUAUGGCACGCUCAGCCGUGGUUUCCUCGUCUACUAGAAAUGGCAAUCGACUCUCCACGAGUAAUACCAUCAAAACCAGACUUGCUAUUGGACCCAGAAGGGAAUCCGCACAACCUAAUCAAUCAGGGCCUGCUGCAACUCACGGUCUGGUUGAUUUCCGGAGUCCCUGGACAUUCACAGACAUUCC